rnacentral:lncRNA from 10 species
UGCAGCACCAGCUCUGUCUUCCGCAGCAGGCCACUUAAACUAUCUGUUUUCAAGUGCUGAGAAUCCCACCUCUGAAACACCCUGCAAAGCCACAACAGAGGACCCUCAUCACCCCUCACUGCAGCAGCCUCCUAGCUGGUCACCCCACGUUCAGUAUCUUUCCAGCUGCAUGAUCGUCACCAGCUGCCAGAGCUCUACCUAGAACUCAAGUGCGACCACCUCACUCCUCUGCCUGAAACUCCUCUGAAACACACCAACACAUAAAUGUGAUUUAAUUAACUCUGGAUUUGAGAACUCCUACCCAUCCUCCAAAACCUCCAGUCACCCUCACUGUGAAGCCUUCCCUGAUAACCACCUCCUACAACAGAGUCAAACUCCUCUUUUAUACUGCUGUUUAUUUGCCUGUACAGUUAUUUGUGAGACCUCCCUACCAGCGUCAAAGACAGUGCGUGAUGUAUUCUGUUACUUAAAUGGUGCUCCAGAAACAUGUACAAUACAGAACCAGAAGAGUUCUCUUUCUUUUGUUGGGUUUGGUGUCUUUGAUUGGUUUCGUUUUG